UCCACCUGUCUCAGCCUCCCAGAGUGCUGGGAUUAUAGGCAUGAGCCCCCACAGCUGGCAGAUUGGAAGUUUUUCUUAUUUUAAAAAUAUUU
rnacentral:miRNA from 1 species